GGGAAACAGACAGAGGGGCCCGCCCCAGGCCCCAAGACGUUUUAUGAGGUG
rfam:Mesocricetus auratus contig176050, whole genome shotgun sequence.